rnacentral:piRNA from 1 species
UGAAGAAGAACUUACUUGGCCUAGGAUGUGU